GGGAGUGGAUCGGGGCUGGUGUCUUGCCUGGUCUUCAAAAUCAGUGGGGGCUGCCCUAGCGGUGGUCCCGGUGGGUUCGAUUCCCAUGCACUCCCGCCA
rnacentral:tRNA from 1 species